rnacentral:misc_RNA from 1 species
AGAAAGCGUCCCAAAAAGAUACCCAGCAAGGAAAGUGUGGAGCAGGCUGGAAUUUAUCAAACUCACCCUCUUAAAGUCACACUUCAUAUACAUGAUGACGAGAAAUCUGAUUUACAAUCUAAAAAACUUGUCACUUUGAAAUUUGAGUACUUAAUUAAGUUGAAUAGUGUGUGUGUUGGAGUUGAAGGCUCUCAAGAGAAUGCUGAUAAUGACAUCUUAUGCAAUUUAUUUCCGGAUGACACGGGCCUUGAGCUUCCACACCAGUCUGCAAAGCUAAUUGAUCAUUCAAUUGUGUUCGAUGAAAGGAGAACCUCACGACCAUACAAGUGGGCGCAGCAUCUGGCAGGCAUCGAUUUUUUACCUGAGGUGUCACCGUCGCUUAGAGGUUUUGAGACUUCAAAUGAUGAGACAUCAAAGCACACUGCUGUUAUCUCUGGUCUGUCUCUGUAUCGGCAACAAAAUCGGGUGCAAACGGUUGUGCAAAGAGUUCGUGCUCGGAAAAAGGCUCAGCUGGCUCUAGUGGAGCAGUUUGACUCUUUAAUGAACCUAAACUGGCCAGCUCUAGCCGGUAGAAGAGUUCCUUGGGCUUCUCAUGAUCCUCGCUGCAGUUUGCAUGCAUGGUUCCGUCUUGGUUCAUCUCCUAGUCAGGUUCCGUCAUCGACACUCACAGAAACGGAACAAGUUCAGCAUCCUACGAAAGUUGUGGUGGAUGGAGAGUCUGCCUCUUCUAAAGAAGAGGUAGAAAGCACGAGGGAAGAUGGGGAGCUUCCAUCCUUAGUUCCCACCACCUCAAUAAAUGAUACGAACGUCACACCAAUUAAAAGAACUGAUUUUGAUCAUUCUUCAAAGCUGGCGUUCAU